rnacentral:lncRNA from 1 species
UUUGCGUUGACGAAUGUAAGGUAUUGGACUUCUAAAAUUAUGAAGUUACAGUGUACAUUUGGUUGGAAAGCCAUUUGAAUGGUUCCGGUGAGAUUGCGGUGGAAUGUAAUAUACCGAAUUUUAAAUAUAAAAAUGGAAAUGAAUAAAAAUAGUAUGAGAUACUAUUUUUAUUGGAUUUAGAGAAGUGAAAUAAAAGUUGGAAAUGACCUGUGCUGAAAUCGGAGCGAAAACAGAAGAUUUAGAAUUUUCUGUGAGAGACAGGACAGAUAAAUUAGCAGAAAAUGCACAGUGUCAGAAAAUUAUGAAAGCUGGAAGAUAUGUCAGAAUUAUUUUUGUGAGGCAAGAUUUCAAGUUUCAUGUCAUUCUGACAUCCGGAAGGUAGAAAAUAAAAUCCGACAGCUAUCUGAUAAAGAUUACAGUUCGGUACAGUUUUCAGUGACCAAACGGGGUCGAAAUUAAAAACUUAAGAUAUAUUCUUACUCAGUACGUUAAACUGAGCCUGUCUGUCAAAUU